UACAGAGGUCUCAAGCGUUGUUCGGAUUCAUUGGGCGUAAAGGGUGCGUAGGUGGCGCGCUAAGUCAGGUGUGAAAUCUCGGGGCUUAACUCCGAAACUGCAUUUGAUACUGGCGUGCUUGAGGACUGGAGAGGAGACUGGAAUUCAUGGUGUAGCAGUGAAAUGCGUAGAUAUCGUAAGGAGGACCAGUGGCGAAGGCGAAUCUCUGGACAAUUACUGACACUGAGGCACGAAGGCCAGGGGAGCAAACGGG
rnacentral:rRNA from 1 species